UACAGAGGUCCCAAGCGUUGUUCGGAAUCACUGGGCGUAAAGGGCGCGUAGGCGGCGCGGAUAGUCGGCGGUGAAAGCCCGGAGCUCAACUCCGGGUCGGCCGUCGAUACUUCCGGGCUUGAGCACUGUAGAGGCAGAUGGAAUUCCGGGUGUAGCGGUGGAAUGCGUAGAGAUCCGGAAGAACACCGGUGGCGAAGGCGGUCUGCUGGGCAGUUGCUGACGCUGAUGCGCGACAGCGUGGGGAGCAAACAGG
rnacentral:rRNA from 1 species